rnacentral:rRNA from 1 species
GACGAACGCUGGCGGCGUGCUUAACACAUGCAAGUCGAACGGGUCUGCCCUGUUUUUUGCGGGGUGGGUCAGUGGCGAACGGGUGAGUAACACGUGAGUAACCUGCCCCUCACUUCUGGAUAACCGCUUGAAAGGGUGGCUAAUACGGGGUGUUCUGGCUGUGCCGCAUGGUGUGGCUGGGAAAGAUUCACUUUUGUGGUGUUUUGGUGGGGGAUGGGCUCGCGGCCUAUCAGCUUGUUGGUGGGGUGAUGGCCUGCCAAGGCUUUGACGGGUAGCCGGCCUGGGAGGGUGGGCGGUCACACUGGGACUGAGAUACGGACCAGACUCCUGCGGGAGGCAGCAGUGGGGGGUAUUGCACAAUGGGCGGAAGCCUGAUGCAGCGACGUCGCGUGAGGGAUGGAGGCCUUCGGGUUGUGAACCUCUUUCGCCGGUGAAGAAGGUCCUGCUCUUUGUGGUGGGGUUGACGGUAGCCGGGUUAUGAAGCGCCGGCUAACUACGUG